rnacentral:rRNA from 1 species
UACGGAGGGUGCAAGCGUUAUCCGGAUUCACUGGGUUUAAAGGGAGCGUAGGCGGGUUGGUAAGUCAGUGGUGAAAUCCCCGAGCUUAACUUGGGAACUGCCAUUGAUACUAUCAGUCUUGAAUACUGUGGAGGUUAGCGGAAUAUGUCAUGUAGCGGUGAAAUGCUUAGAUAUGACAUAGAACACCAAUUGCGAAGGCAGCUGGCUACACAAAUAUUGACACUGAGGCUCGAAAGCGUGGGGAUCAAACAGG